AGCGGAGGAAAGAAACUAACAAGGAUUCCCCUAGUAACUGCGAGUGAAGCGGGAAAAGCUCAAAUUUAAAAUCUGGUGGUCUUUGGCCAUCCGAGUUGUAAUUUAGAGAAGCGUCUUCCGCGCUGGACCAUGUACAAGUCUCCUGGAAUGGAGCGUCGUAGAGGGUGAGAAUCCCGUCUUUGACAUGGACACACCAGGGGCUUCUGUGAUGCGCUCUCGAAGAGUCGAGUUGUUUGGGAAUGCAGCUCAAAAUGGGUGGUGAACUCCAUCUAAAGCUAAAUAUUGGCGAGAGACCGAUAGCGAACAAGUACCGUGAGGGAAAGAUGAAAAGCACUUUGGAAAGAGAGUGAAACAGUACGUGAAAUUGUUGAAAGGGAAACGCUUGAAGUCAGUCGCGUCGACCGAGACUCAGCCUUGCCUCGGCUUGGCGUAUUUCUUGGCCGACGGGUCAGCAUCAAUUUUGCCCCUUGGAUAAUGGUGAGGGAAAUGUGACACCUUUAUAGGUGUGUUAUAGUCUCUCAUCGCAUGCAAGGGUCGGGAUUGAGGAACUCAGCAUGCGCCUUAGGGUGUCGGGACUCGUCCACGAUACAUGCUUAGGAUGUUGGCGUAAUGGCUUUAAACGACCCGUCUUGAAACACGGACCAAGGAGUCUAACAUGCCCGCGAGUGUUUGGGUGGAAAACCCAUUCGCGAAAUGAAAGUGAAAGUUGGGACCUCUGUCGUGGAGGGCACCGACACCCGGACCAGACCUUCUGUGACGGAUCUGCGGUAGAGCGUGUAUGUUAGGACCCGAAAGAUGGUGAACUAUGCCUGAAUAGGGUGAAGCCAGAGGAAACUCUGGUGGAGGCUACGUAGCGAUUCUGACGUGCAAAUCGAUCGUCAAAUUUGGGUAUAGGGGCGAAAGACUAAUCGAACCAUCUAGUAGCUGGUUCUGCGAGUUU
rnacentral:rRNA from 1 species